CACGGCCCAGACUCCUACGGGAGGCAGCAGUGGGGAAUCUUGCGCAAUGCGCGAAAGCGUGACGCAGCAACGCCGCGUGGGGGAAGAAGGCCUUCGGGUUGUAAACCCCUUUCAGUUGGGACGAAGCUCCGCCCGUUAACAGCAGGCUGGAGUGACGGUACCUUCAGAAGAAGCCCCGGCCAACUACGUGCCAGCAGCCGCGGUAAUACGUAGGGGGCAAGCGUUGUCCGGAAUCAUUGGGCGUAAAGAGCGUGUAGGCGGCCCGAUAAGUCCGCCGUGAAAGUCCAGGGCUCAACCCUGGGAUGCCGGUGGAAACUGUCGGGCUAGAGUCCGGAAGAGGCGAGUGGAAUUCCUGGUGUAGCGGUGAAAUGCGCAGAUAUCAGGAGGAACACCGAUGGCGAAGGCAGCUCGCUGGGACGGUACUGACGCUGAGACGCGAAAGCGUGGGGAGCGAACAGGAUUAGAUACCCUGGUAGUCCACGCUGUAAACGAUGGGCACUAGGUGUGGGGGGUGUCGACUCCCCCCGCGCCGGCGCUAACGCAUUAAGUGCCCCGCCUGGGGAGUACGGCCGCAAGGCUAAAACUCAAAGGAAUUGACGGGGACCCGCACAAGCAGCGGAGCAUGUGGUUUAAUUCGACGCAACGCGAAGAACCUUACCUGGGCUUGACAUGUCGGUGGCCGUCGUGGAAACACGGCUUCCCUUCGGGGCACCGUCACAGGUGGUGCAUGGCUGUCGUCAGCUCGUGUCGUGAGAUGUUGGGUUAAGUCCCGCAACGAGCGCAACCCCCGUCGCAUGUUGCCAGCAUUCAGUUGGGGACUCAUGCGAGACUGCCGGUGACAAACCGGAGGAAGGUGGGGAUGACGUCAAGUCAUCAUGCCCCUUAUGUCCAGGGCUACACACGUGCUACAUUGGCGCGUACAGAGGGCUGCGAUACCGCGAGGUGGAGCGAAUCCCUCAAAGCGCGUCUCGGUUCGGAUUGCAGGCUGAAACCCGCCUGCAUGAAGGCGGAGUUGCUAGUAAUCGCGGAUCAGCAAUGCCGCGGUGAAUACGUUCCCGGGUCUUGUACACACCGCCCGUCACACCACGGGAAUUGGCAACGCCCGAAGCCGGUGGCCCAACCCGCAAGGGAGGGAGCCGUCGAAGGUGGGGCCAGUGACUGGGGUGAA
rnacentral:rRNA from 1 species